rnacentral:rRNA from 1 species
UACGUAGGUGGCAAGCGUUGUCCGGAUUUACUGGGCGUAAAGAGCGCGCAGGCGGUCGUUUAAGUCGAAUGUGAAAGCCCCCGGCUCAACUGGGGAGGGUCAUUCGAUACUGAUCGACUCGAAGGCAGGAGAGGGUAGUGGAAUUCCCGGUGUAGUGGUGAAAUGCGUAGAUAUCGGGAGGAACACCAGUGGCGAAGGCGACUACCUGGCCUGUUCUUGACGCUGAGGCGCGAAAGCUAGGGGAGCAAACGGG